rnacentral:rRNA from 1 species
GACGAACGCUGGCGGCGUGCUUAACACAUGCAAGUCGAACGGAAAGGCCCUGCGUUUGUGGGGUUCUCGAUUGGCGAACGGGUGAGUAACACGUGAGUAACCUGCCCUUGACUUUGGGAUAACUUCAGGAAACUGGGGCUAAUACCGGAUAGGAGCUCCUGCUGCAUGGUGGUGGUUGGAAAGUUUCGGCGGUUGGGGAUGGACUCGCAGCUUAUCAGCUUGUUGGUGGGGUAGUUGCUUACCAAGGCUUUGACGGGUAGGCCGCCUGGGCGGGUUGACGGGCCCCAUGGGGCUUGGGGAAGGGCCAGGAGGCAACCGGGCGGAAUAGGGGGGAAUCUUGCGAAACGGGGCGGAGGCAGGAGGAAGAAUCCCCGGGUCGGGAAGAACGGCUUUUGGGUGGGAACCGGUUUGGGCGUGACAGUAGACUUCGUGACGGUAAUUGGUCAAAGAGCCACGGCUAACUACGUG